rnacentral:misc_RNA from 1 species
UCACAGUAUCAAGCUUGGCUUGUCGUUGGGCCCUUUGUCACCUGGUGACAGGUCCCAAAGAGAAUGACUGGUGUCGUAAAGACUCUAAAUGCAACGAGCUUAUAACAGCACGCAUCUAGUAGUAAUAUGGCCCGGUUCUCACCUCUUUAUUUCUCAA